rnacentral:lncRNA from 12 species
CCUAAAUGGUAAUAAAAGCUGACAGAUAAAUAGGAUACACGCAGUAAUCAAAUUUAACAGCAGAUGUGACACGUCAUUGGUCAAGCGUUUACUGAGAGUAUCCCAUGUUCCAUGAACUCUGGUAGGUGCUGUGACUUAAGCUCAAUGUCAACCAUCCUGCUCCAUCUGUGGAGCCAUCCCACAGAAGCCUAACACGUGCUUUCUGACUUCAGGGAUCCACAAGAAGAGGUUUGGCAUUCAUGGAAACAAUCAUGAAAGAAAAACAACUAUUUUACCCCACUAGCCUGCCAACAUGGUGACCAGACCCUCCAAGGAUGUUGAAAUGGGAAGGCAGAGUCUGUGAGAUAACUCAAAAGGCCAUCCCCAGCCUUCAGGAACUAUCUCCAAAUCGUUUGGAAAAUCCCAUGCCCUCGAUCCUUUCUCGGGCAGCAGAGACCAUUGCUGAUGAUAAAAUCCAUACUGUGAUGAAGAAUAAAGCAAAUCGUGCUGAAGUCUUGUACCUAUAAUCCUGGGACACAGGGAACUCCUCAUAUGGCCCUUCCCGAUGGUGAUGCCCCCUCCUCACCUUUGCAAUAAUCUUUCAUUCAACUUGCUUUUCUUCACAGUUUUAAAGAUUAUAUAUAUAUAUAUAUAUAUAUAUAUAUAUAUAUAUAUAUAUAUAAAAUAUUAU